UGGGAGUUCAGCAGACAAAGACACAAAAUGAGGAGGUAACAGCCGUGAUUACAGUCUUCAAAUGUCAUCAGAGAAAAAUGCCACAAAACAUGAAUGACAUCUUAUCCAGUUCAAACCCAGAACCAUUUGUUCACAGAAGCAGAAAGACAAAAGCUGAGAGACGUAGAAAAUGAGGUGUAUGUGCACACACCCUGAUGCAUGACGAGAGCAUCCACAGCCCCACCUAGAAGCCUUUGUCCUCUCAGGCACGACUCAUCACACCGUGGGCUCAUAAAUAACCAGCAGGACUCUAUCAGCCUCAGUCUCUGAGAGGACAGCACUCAAGCAAACAACUCAUCUAUAGAACAGAAGAGAAACUUCAUCACCAUGCUGACCAACAUUUGUUUGAUCUUCCUCCUGUGUGUUGCCUCAUGCAACGGACAGUCAACCACAGCUGCGACCACUGCUGCAACCACUGCUGCAACCACUGCUGCAACCACAGCUGCAACCACUGCUGCAACCACAGCUGCAACCACAGCUGCAACCACUGCUGCAACCACAGCUGCAACCACAGCUGCAACCACAGCUGCAACCACAGCUGCAACCACUGCUGCUGCAACCACAGCUGCUGCAACCACAGUUGCUGGGGCAACAACUGCUGCUGGGGCAACAAUAGCCGCUGGGGCAACAACUGCUGCCUCUUCUGCAAUCAUCCAUAAGAUGACUCUGGUUUCUGCCAUUCUGGUUGCGAUGACACAUUUACUUCGCUGCUGCUAAAGUGAAUCAGUAAUCCCAGCUGAGCCUCCUGGAGAUGUGAUGUCAUCCAUCCAUCUGUGAAGGGAGAACUGAAUCUGUCUGAUAUUACCUGCAUGUCUGGUUGUAAAUGCAUCAUUUCUAAGCAACAUUCUGCAAUAAAGUUUUUACAAAACUUAAGUUUACCAUUUAUUCAGUUGCCACCAACUAUGUUCUUGCACCACAUUAAAUAAUCUGGAGGACAUAUAAAGCAAAACCUAAA
ensembl:lncRNA